rnacentral:lncRNA from 1 species
AGCUGCAGUAGUGUGUAGACAGCUGGGUUGUGGCUCCACUGUUUCAGUUCUACCUGGAAACACCACUAGAUGGUUUGGAGUUUCCUGUUCUGGCUCUGAGUCUGUACUGAGGGAGUGUUCCAGAAUUUAUGAUCUCUAUUCUGGAUUCACAGUGAUCUGCUCAGAUCUCCUGGUCCAGCCUGAUAUCUCCCUGACUGACUCAAUGGGAGGGGUCUCCAGGGGCCACCAGGGGCCCGAGAUGUUCAGGGGCUACAGCUUCACCAUCACCUGCUCCACUCAGCCACAGUACCCAGGAGGCUCCUUCCUCCUCACGUUCACCGGCUCCAAAAUAUCCCAGACCCAGCCAGCUGUCAAUCACUCUGCUGCCUUCCUCUUCCCUGCUGCAGAUGACUCCCACCAAGGGAACUACAGCUGUGUUUAUGACAAUCAUGUUUUCUCUCAUGACUUCUCCUCUGAGAGUGAGCUCCUCUCCCUCACCAUCACAGCCUCUCCUCUGCCAGCCUUCAUCAUCAGACACGUUGUAGUGGUGCUGAUGCUACUGACAGCCAUCACCACCUCCUACCUGUACUACAAGCCCACCAGGAGGCAGAAGAGAGUGAACAGGGUGAGCAGCAUGGAUCUUUAUGUCAAUGCCAUGGAGAUGGUCUCUCUGAGCUCCAGAGCUGAAGCUGGACCGGGAGAGGAGAGAGCAGCCCAGGGGACGGAGUAGGAGUAGAAUGAAGCUGACCCUACAUGCUGAUCUUAGCUCCACCUCUGCUGCAGAGAUCCCAUCCUGACUGGCGGAAACAGCACCUACAGGUAACAGAGGAACAGUGUUAGGAUGAACUGACUGGAGGAAACAGCACCUACAGAUAGCAGAGGAACAGUGUUAGGAUGAAUUGACUGGAGUAAACAGCACCUACAGGUAGCAGAGGAACAGUGUUAGGAUGAACUGACUGGAGGAAACAGCACCUACAGGUAACAGAGGAACAGUGUUAGGAUGAACUGACUGGAGGAAACAGCA